rnacentral:lncRNA from 1 species
GAGCUGGAAAGCUGUCUGUGCUACUUGCUAAUAGCCUAGCCUAUACUAGUUGCUUAUGCUUACAGUUACAGCUUAGUGAUUGAACUGAACAAAUAAAAACAUGAACUUGAAAUCUGAAACUGAAAGUCUUAAACUCUUUGAGAGUAGAGACCAAUGAGAAAUGGCGUAAAAAAAGCGAACAGCUUCUACAAGUUUACAAAGUCAAAGUCAUGUGGGUGCUGUAGGUGGUGAUGAUCAAGUUGAUUGUGAAACUGUAAAUGUAGAGAAUAAUGAUUCUGGCAGCGAUGGGCAUGAUUCUGGCAGAUUUGUCAUUCUCAUUCAAUGUUAGACCAUUGAGCAUUGACCGCUUUCUCAUUAAAGCAAAUCUGAAAAAAAAUACACUGUUUUGAUUGUCA